AACGUAGGUGGCGAGCGUUAUCCGGAUUUACUGGGCGUAAAGCGUGUGCAGGCGGGGCUACAAGUGGUGUAUGAAAUCGCUCGGCUAAACCGGGCGGGGUUAUGCCAGACUGUAGCUCUUGAGUGCGAGAGAGGGAAGUGGAAUUCCCGGUGUAGUGGUGAAAUGCGUAGAUAUCGGGAGGAACACCAGUGGCGAAGGCGACUUUCUGGCCUGUUCUUGACGCUGAGGCGCGAAAGCUAGGGGAGCAAACGGG
rnacentral:rRNA from 1 species